UUUCAUGAUUUAACUCCUAAUUUGUGCUUUAGAUAUAGGUUGAAUUUUGAUGUUUCUGCCAAGCAACACUAUAUCAGUAUUACACUAUUUGAUGCUGCACAAUACUUCUUUGGUGUCGACGUCAAGGAGUAUAUUCAAUCUACAUCUGAAAAGAAAGAGGAUCCAAGUACUAUCGCAAGUUGGUAUUGAGUAAAGGAAAAAAGUUUUGUUUUCUUGUGAAAACUCAUCAGAAAAUUGCAAAAGAAGAAAAGAAAAUGAAUUUGAUAGCUGCAGAGAUUCAUGAAGUUAGAAAAAAUGCUGCAACUGGUGAUAUAGAAGAUGGAGAUAUAUCAAUAAAGCUAAGAAGCAAGAAGACAAAGAAAGAUGAAGAUAACAAUGAAGAGGAACACCCAGUUACUAAUAAAAAGUUCAAAGUGGAAAAUAUUUAGUUUGUUAUUAUCUAAGAAUUAUAUUAGCUAUGAUCAUUGUUAGAUGUUUUACUUUUUUAACAGGAGCAACUUCAGCUGGCAUGGCUUUAAGAGUGUUGUUUACUUUCCAAUAAGUUAUAAAUUUCCUCAUUUUCUAUGCA